rnacentral:SRP_RNA from 1 species
CCGCGCUAAGCGGGGAGCCAGCGGUGCCCUGUACCUGCAAUCCGCUAUAGCAGGGCCGAAUUCCCGUUUUGAGGCAUAUGUUUGUGAGGCAGGCGCUCGCGUGGGGCGUUGAUGCCCGGGUCCCGUGCAAUUCAUUACCGUGAACCAUGUCAGGGCCGGAAGGCAGCAGCAUUAAGCGGAAGGAUGGGUGUGCCGCGGGGCGGCCCGGGCGGAGCUACCUGCGGGCAUACCGCUUGUAGGCAUAGCGCCGAGGGAUGGGUGCGCGG